rnacentral:rRNA from 1 species
CUACGGGUGGCUGCAGUGGGGAAUAUUGGACAAUGGGCGAAAGCCUGAUCCAGCCAUGCCGCGUGUGUGAAGAAGGCCUUCGGGUUGUAAAGCACUUUCAGUGGGGAAGAAAGCCUUGGGGCUAAUACCCUCGAGGAAGGACAUCACCCACAGAAGAAGCACCGGCUAACUCCGUGCCAGCAGCCGCGGUAAUACGGAGGGUGCGAGCGUUAAUCGGAAUUACUGGGCGUAAAGCGCGCGUAGGCGGUCUGAUAAGCCGGUUGUGAAAGCCCCGGGCUCAACCUGGGAACGGCAUCCGGAACUGUCAGGCUAGAGUGCAGGAGAGGAAGGUAGAAUUCCCGGUGUAGCGGUGAAAUGCGUAGAGAUCGGGAGGAAUACCAGUGGCGAAGGCGGCCUUCUGGACUGACACUGACGCUGAGGUGCGAAAGCGUGGGUAGCAAACAGGAUUAGAUACCCUGGUAGUC